ACGAGAAAGUCCCCUUCGGGGGAUGAGUAGAGUGGCGAACGGGACAGUAACGCGUGGGAAACCUGCCCUACAGUGGGGGAUAACACUUCCAACGAGGUGCUAAUACCGCAUACGACCUCCGGUCGCAUGGCCGGUCGGUGAAAGGUGGCCUCUGCUUGCAAGCUGCCGCUGUUGGAUGGUCCCGCGUCCCAUUAGCUAGUUGGUGAGGUAACGGCUCACCAAGGCUGCGAUGGGUAGGCGGCCUGAGAGGGUGACCGCCGUCACUGGGACUGAGAUACGGCCCAGACUCCUACGGGAGGCAGCAGUCGAGAAGCUUCGGCAAUGGGCGAAAGCCUGACCGAGCGACGCCGCGUGAGCGAUGAAGGCCCUAGUGGUUGUAAAGCUCUGUCAGAUUGGGACUAAACCUCGGGGGUGAAUACCCUCCGAGACUGAAGGUACCGUCAGAGGAAGCACCGGCUAACUCCGUGCCAGCAGCCGCGGUAAUACGGAGGGUGCGAGCGUUGUUCGGAUUCACUGGGUAUAAAGGGUUCGUAGGCGGUCCUGUAAGUCAGGGGUGAAAGCUGCCGGCUCAACUGGCAAAUUGCCUUUGAAACUGCAGGACUUGAGUCCGGAAGAGGAAGGUGGAAUUCCUGGUGUAGCGGUGAAAUGCGUAAAUAUCAGGAGGAACACCGGUGGCGAAGGCGGCCUUCUGGUCCGGUACUGACGCUGAGGA
rnacentral:rRNA from 1 species